CCUACGGGGAGCUGCAGUGGGGAAUAUUGGACAAUGGGCGAAAGCCUGAUCCAGCCAUGCCGCGUGUGUGAAGAAGGCCUUCGGGUUGUAAAGCACUUUCAGUGGGGAAGAAAGCCUUGGGGCUAAUACCCUCGAGGAAGGACAUCACCCACAGAAGAAGCACCGGCUAACUCCGUGCCAGCAGCCGCGGUAAUACGGAGGGUGCGAGCGUUAAUCGGAAUUACUGGGCGUAAAGCGCGCGUAGGCGGUCUGAUAAGCCGGUUGUGAAAGCCCCGGGCUCAACCUGGGAACGGCAUCCGGAACUGUCAGGCUAGAGUGCAGGAGAGGAAGGUAGAAUUCCCGGUGUAGCGGUGAAAUGCGUAGGGAUCGGGAGGAAUACCAGUGGCGAAGGCGGCCUUCUGGACUGACACUGACGCUGAGGUGCGAAAGCGUGGGUAGCAAACAGGAUUAGAUACCCCAGUAGUC
rnacentral:rRNA from 1 species